CAGAGGGGGAGAACCCCUUCCCUUGACCUUCUGGUCACACCUCUCAUCCACCUCCAGCACAUCUGGCCCAUGACAGCUUCUGUGCCAAAUCUCCAGACCAAUCUCCAAAACGAGCCAAAGCUUCCCAAGGAGAAGCAGCCCCUUUUUCAUUUAUUUUUUAACACGAGCAAAACAAAAACUGUCCAAAAACGUGGCACCAGCCAAAACCUUCCAAUAACAAACAAGCCCACAGGACAGCCAGCCAGCUCUGGAAAUGUGAAUUGAAGUGGUUUUAAGCCUGGCAGGAGCUAAACCCAAAGCCUUACAAAUUGAAACGUGUUUUAAUGGUAGAAGUGACACCACUUCUGCUUCUCAUUACCCCCCGAGUGUUGUGAUACUUCAGCCUCACAGAAGGCAAAGCAUCUUGGAAACCCAUUUCCCAGCCAGUGGAAAGCAGGAAUCAGUAUGAGAAUCCCUCAGGAAGCAUAGAAAUGGGACAGCUUUGAUGGCUGGGUGUGGAAAUUCGGGGUGUGAAAGCCAGAAGGUGAAAUCUGGGUGGUUUACACCGAGCCCUCACUGGUGGCAGACAUCUGGUUACGAGCAGAGCUCCACCAUCCAAACGCAUCCCAGAUUCCUCUGGAAAACCAAGGAGCAGCAGGAGGGUCAGCUUGGCCAGCUACAGACAGAGGAUGAACCUCUGGAAGCUGCCCCAGAUGCCCAGGACGUGCUCCUGGAUGAGGCUUUUAGUUGAGCAGCUCUCCUACAAACCAGGCCUUGUCGGGAGGCCGGGAGUCAACCUCUGCUGCCAAGGAAUAAUGACAUGGAAAUGGGAGUCAGAGCAUUAAAAAGUGGUUUGGAGUGAAUGCGUGCAGGGAUAAGUUGCUUCCUGUGAUUCACAUCCUAACCCAUUGUUCACUCAAUAAAUGGAGGUUGGAGAUUUUCCUCUAUAUUUGCGAGUUAUUUUUAAACCGGGCUUAAGUCGUUCAGUUUAGCUCUAAGUCAGCACUUCUGGCCACUAAUUCACAGUUAUUCCGAGGUGGGAACGUGCAGAGCUGCUUCUGGAUUUGGAAAAAAAGAUGCCAAAAUCAUCAAAUUAUUCGUUCCCUUGGUUUUAUUUUCCCGAAGAGCAGAAAAUCUCAGAGCGAACCACAAACAUUUUUCCUGGGAAUUUCACAAGGGGCUAUGCCAAGGUCCUCAUGGGAACCAGUAAGGUGGACUGGGAAACAGUAAAACUGUUUGGGAACCAGUAAGGUGUACUGAGAACCAGUAAGUUUGAUUGGGAACCAGUAAGGUGGAUGGGAACCAGUAAGGUCGAUGGGAACCAGUAAGGUGGACUGGGAACCUGUAAGGUGGAUUGGGAACCAGUAAGGUUGAUGGGAACCAGUAAGGUGGAUUGGGAACCAGUAAGGUGGAUUGGGAACCAGUAAGGUUGAUGGGAACCAGUAAGAUUGAUGGGAACCAGUAAGACUGAUUGGGAACCAGUAAGACUGAUUGGGAACCAGUAAGGUGGAUGGGAACCAGUAAGGUGGUCUGGGAAUCAGUAAGGUGGAUUGGGAACCAGUAAGGUUGAUGGGAACCAGUAAGGUUGGUUUCCUCCAUUAUACCUCGACCUGUGUGUAAAUUUAAUGAACAGUUUCCCAGGUUUUCAUAAUUCCAGUGGGUUCCCCGUGUGUCACUCCCUGAUUUCCUCCCCGCCGGCGUUUCCCGAAGCUCAGGGCGAUUCGGGGCUCGUUUUAUCCCUCGCUCCCGGAUUUUCAUGGAUCAGCACCUGGUUCUUGUACUUCUCUCCCCAGUCCUCCACGAUGUACUGGUGAUAGGGGUCGUUGGAGUGCUCCCUCCUCUUGGACUUCACGGUGCUCACCAGGAUGGCCACGAUGAUGAAGGAGAACAUCCCGAUCAUCACCAUCAGGUACAGGAUGACGUAGUCGAAGUUCUCGGCCGCCACCUGGGCCUGCAGCUUGUUCGCCGCCUCCGUCAUGUUCCUCCUCCAGCCGUUCAUGUAGCUGAGAAAGGUGUCCUUGAAAAUGUCCUCCACCGCCCAGGUGAGGUUCUUCACCUCAGCCAUCCUCGCUGCGGACAACACAACGCUCGUUUUAGUCAGAUAUCGGUGACAAAACUGUUGCAUUGCUGUGUUUGGUCUGUGGGAGGACAAUUCGUGACCAACACCCCCUCUCUGCUGCUCAGAAGGGCUGUUUUAGGGCAGCUGAGAAUCCCCAGCUCUGAGGGGUUGUGGUGGGGAAAAAAGGAUUUUUCCCCCUGUAGUUAAAAAAAAUGGUAACCCCAAAGGGGUGUGGGAUCUCUUGAUGUUGACCCAGUCAGCGCCCCUGCAAAAUUUAAACAUAUCGCACCAGAACGGAAAAGAAGGAUGAUGAUGUUGUUGGAGGGAGAAGAGAUUUGAUCCAAUGUAAAUAUACUGCUUUACCACAGGAGAGAUAGUUAGGAUGGUGUUGUAUAUAAUGUAUUAUAAAAUUUAUUUGCGUAAUAAUUGUAAUAUAAUUCCCU